UUAUGGCCAUAUCACGUUGAAACAUUGGUUUCCAUACGAUCACUAAAGUUAAACAACGUUGAACCUGAUCAGUACCUAAAUGGUUGUCUGCUUGGGAAUACCAGAUGCUGUAA